CGGAAGGGAUAACAUCGUGCAACGUUAAUAUCGUGGUGGAUAUAAGAAGAAAUAUAUUCCUUCCAAUCAGAGAGCAGCUACGGCCCAACUUUCGACGAAUCAGUACGUUCGGCGUCAGUCUUCUGGUGGACCUCGUGGGGAUAGGACGGAUGGAGCUAUAACUGGUUAAAAAUUGAUUGCUGAGAUAACUAAGAUGUGAUUUCAAUAUUGAUGCCACAAUCAGAUGGUGAUUUUUUUAUGACAGAGCGUUUGUUUCAGAUUUAUUAACUUCCAGGACAAAUUUAUAUUAUAACAUUUGAAGUAGUUAUAUAAAUAUAUUAUGUUAGUGACUCUUGAGUAGAAUGACAUGAAUGAAAAAGAAUGAAGAGGGAAAGAGUAUGUAUUUACAAUUACAAAGUAUGUACUAUAAUUAUCGUCUCGUAUUAAGAAUUGAUUAUUAUGUUGUAAACCUUUAUUAAAUUCUUUUAAAAUUUAAUUUUGUUUGUUACAGGAAAUUCCAUUGUGAAGUUUCAGCAAAGAAGUGGUGUUCUGCUAUAUAUGUAUGGUAUUCUGCUAUAUAUAAUGUCCUUUUCCCUUUCCUUGUUCUUUAUUUGAAUUAAAUUUUUAUUUAAGCAGAA